AGUGAACGCUGGCGGUAGGCCUAACACAUGCAAGUCGAACGGCAGCACAGUAAGAGCUUGCUCUUACGGGUGGCGAGUGGCGGACGGGUGAGGAAUACAUCGGAAUCUACUUUUUCGUGGGGAAUAACGUAGGGAAACUUACGCUAGUACCGCAUACGACCUACGGGUGAAAGCAGGGGAUCUUCGGACCUUGCGCGAUUGAAUGAGCCGAUGUCGGAUUAGCUAGUUGGCGGGGUAAAGGCCCACCAAGGCGACGAUCCGUAGCUGGUCUGAGAGGAUGAUCAGCCACACUGGAACUGAGACACGGUCCAGACUCCUACGGGAGGCAGCAGUGGGGAAUAUUGGACAAAGGGCGCAAGCCUGAUCCAGCCAUACCGCGUGGGUGAAGAAGGCCUUCGGGUUGUAAAGCCCUUUUGUUGGGAAAGAAAAGCAGCAGGUUAAUACCCCGCUGUUCUGACGGUACCCAAAGAAUAAGCACCGGCUAACUUCGUG
rnacentral:rRNA from 1 species